ACAGACCAACAAUAAACAAUAAGGAAAAGAAUAUACUUGAACACAUACUUUGCCAGAGGAAAUUCAGAGACAGCAAAUAAUCACAUCAAAAGAUGUUCAAUAUCUUUAGCCAUUAGAGAAAUACAAAUUAAAUGAGAUGCCAUUCCACACCUACUAGAAUAAAUACAAUUAAAAAUACUCAUCAUCUUGUGUGUUGGUGAUGAUUUAGAACAACUGUAAUUCUCAAAUACUGAUGGUAGGAAAGUAAAAUGAUACAGCCACUCUGGGAAAAAAAAAUGGACUGUUUCUUACAAAGUUAAAUAGACCCCCAUCAUUUUACCUACUUAUUCUACUGUUGCUCUUUAAGCAGAAAACAGUACAGCAUAUAUACAUACAAGAAUGUGUUUGCAAGUGGCCAUGACAAACUUAUUUAUACUAACACUAAACUGUAAACAACCCAAAGUUUAUCAAUGGGUGAAUAAAUAAACCAAACACGGUAUACUCAUAAUAUGAGAUAUAACCACACACACACACACACACACACACACACACACACACACACAAACCGUAUUUUCAACAAACGGUGCUAGAACAGUUGGACAUCCACAUCCAAAAAAAAGAAUCUAGACACUGUGUUUACACAAUGUACAAGAAUGGAUAAUAGAUUUAAAUAUAAAAAUGUGAGACUAUAGAAGAAUGUUAUAAGUUGAAUUUAAUAAAAAUUAAAACUUCUGCUCUAAGAAAGUCAUAGUUAAUAUUUAAAAAACAAGCCAAGACUGGGAGACAAUAUUUACAAAACAUGUAUCCAAUAAAGAACUGGUAUGAGCACGCCACAGAACUCUUAAAACUCAAAAAGAAAAAAAAAA
rnacentral:lncRNA from 1 species